AAUCAACGCUGGCGGCGUGCCUCAGACAUGCAAGUCGAACGCGAAAGUCCCCUUCGGGGGAUGAGUAGAGUGGCGUCCGGGUGAGUAACACGUAGGUAAUCUACCUUUGGGUGGGAAUAACCCCGAGAAAUCGGGGCUAAUACCGCAUAAUGCAGCGGCACCACAUGGUGACAGUUGUUAAAGCGGGGGAUCGCAAGACCUCGCGCCUAAAGAGGAGCCUGCGGCGGAUUAGCUAGNGGUAGGGUAACGGCCUACCAAGGCAACGAUCCGUAGCCGGCCUGAGAGGGCGGUCGGCCACACUGACACUGAAAUACGGGUCAGACUCCUACGGGA
rnacentral:rRNA from 1 species